CCACCGUGCCCAGCCGGAUAUUUGUAUUUAAAUAACUAAUAUGCAAUCCCUAUAGAAUCUACCCGAUUCAGUGUCUUCUUAGUGGCUACUAAAAUACCUACUGGAUCCACUGUCCAGUUUGCCUAAAUUGUAGCUGUUUCUUAAGUUAAAUUCGUCUGGAUAUUUGGUUCCUUCUGGAGUAGUUUUCCUUUGACUAACACUUGAAGAAUAAUUUUCAUUUUAGUUCUAGAAGUAACCUUCUGUUACUCUCACUUAGGUGCUCUUUUGGGCCUAAAUAUAAUUAGAUCCUUCGCCGUUGUUUUGAGGUAAAUCUAAACGAAAAGGAACACCUGUUAACAGGUAGUGAUGCCGCAGGAAAGUGCUGGGAAGGGAAUGCUGGGAAGGGAAGGGCGUGGUCCCUUUAAAUGAUAAGGAAGGGGGGCGGGAAGUGCUGGGUAGAGGAGGGCGUGGUCCCCAGCUAGGGCUUCAUCCCUGGGCCUGGGCCUACCUAGGUGAAGACAGGCAUUUUUGUUUUCCUGCCCGGAUGUUGCAUUUCCCAAGACCACCCUGGCCUGCCAUGCCCUCAUCCUGUGCCUUUAAAAACCCCCGAGACCCUGGCAGGCAGACGCACAAGCAGCUGGACAUUGAGAGGAGCAUAUAGGCAGAGAAUACAGGGGCUGCUGGAUGUCGAAAGGAACGCACCAGCAUAGGAGCACACCGGCAUGCUGGCAGGCCAUUGACCAGCGGAAGAAUGCAGAGUUUGUCGCGGGAGGUCAGAGAAGAGUCAGGCCGCCAUACCUGACUCCAGGAGAAAACCGUCUCCCUUCUGGUUCCCCCGUCUGCCGAGAGCUACUUCCACUCAAUAAAACUUUCCACUCAUUCUUCAAGCCCACGUGUGAUCCAAUUCUUCCCGUACACCAAGGUCUCGCUGUGUUUCCCAGGCUGGGUGCAGUGGCUAUUCAAAGGUACAAUGAUAGCUCACUGCAGCCUGGAACUCCUGGACUCAAGCGAUCCUCCUGCCUCAGCUGCGACUAACAGUGCUGGUAAUGAUGUAUACCUGGCAGCUGACCGUCAAAUCUUAUGAAGGAUUAAAACAUAAAGUUUGCAUUAAAGGUCAAAACAGUCACAAGCCUGCUCAAAUUCGGAAAGAGGGGACGGAAAUGGAACCUCUUCAUGGGAGGAAGAAACAGGGUCUUGCUCUGUUGCCCUGGCUGGAGUGCAAUGGUAUGAUCAUAGCUCACAGUAGCCUUGAACUCCUGGGCCCAAGCCAUCCUCCUACCUCAGCAACCAGAGUAGCUGGGAUUACAGGCGAAUGCCACCACACCUGGAAUUGGAAAAAUGAAUGUAAUUUGACAUAUGUCUUGAGUCUGGUUGGCUUCUGAGGAACUUGUGUGCAUCUCAUCAGUAUGCAUCUUAAGAACUGAAAUGACCCUACUUCAGCAUUGUGAAAUUACAUAAAGAUAAAAGGGGAUGCACUGAACCUGAUGGUACUUUCCUGUACAAUUGAGAAAAGGUGAAAUAAGCAGAAGACCAAGGGAUGCAUUGGGAGGAGGAGAACCAGGAGGAGGACCACGUAAUGGAAGCCAAGUGAAGACAGUGUUUCCCAGUGCUG
rnacentral:lncRNA from 1 species